UAUGGGACCGUUGUACAAGUAAUCGAAGGGACAAUACUGCCUUUUGUCUAUCAAACGUACAGAGAUAUUAAGAUACCCGAUGGAAUGUCCGUUACCUACGUAGAGGUGCAAGUGCACUCACUAUCCCCAGCUAAAGUAGACUACGACAACAAUGAGCAACAAGUCUCUAUUGGCUUCAGUAUCACUCAAUUAAGUAUGUCUUCAUAUAAAAUCAUAGUAAAAGCUGUUCCAACCAGUGAUGUGAUUGUCUCAAAGGAAUAUCUUACGAUUCACUAAUAAGUUCGUAAAUAUACAAUGAUAUAAAUUAA